AGAUCUACUUUUUUUUUGCUUCGAAAUUUUGAAACUGAAAUCCGAACCCUGAUGGAAACAACACAACACACUCUAAAAUACAGCGACCAGCAGGCAGAAGCAGCAGCACGGACGAGCACGAACCGAAGCAAAAGAGGACGCAAAAACAUCUGCUGAAACAUUUCUAUGGAACAUUUGUCUGUCGUCGAAAAGAUUUCUUCUCUAUUUAACAAAACCAACAAGAAACAAAAAAUAUAUACGCCUUUGUGGUAAAUUGUAUAGAUACUUACGGAUUCGUUGAGGUAAUUAGCAAUCGAAUCAUAGUCCGUAAAGCUGCAAUCCAUAGUAGGUGCUCCUCUAGUCGACAAAAGAAAUGCGAAUGCGUUUUCUUUUCACAGUGAUUCUUCUUUAUAGGUUUUGGGGCUGCACCAAAAAAAAAACUUAUUCUUCUUUCAAGAUGAAGAAAAUCAAGGAAUCAUCCAAAAAAAAAAGCUACAUAAAUGAAUUUCAGAGCUCACUUUACAAAACAUAAACAAAAUAGUUUUUCUUUUUCUUUUAUUUUCUCAAGUCUUUUCUUUUGUUAAAAAAAAUUCAUACAAAAUAUUAUUUUACAAAUACAAAAUUUAUUUUUUUCGUAUUUUCAACUAUUUAAUUAUUGUCGAAGUGCACAUUUUGGGUUGCAGACACUCAGCCAUUUUAAGUGCACGCACAUCUACACAAGGGUCUCAUCAAAAAAAAAAAAAAUACAAAAA